rnacentral:rRNA from 1 species
UAAAGAAAGCGUAAUAGCUCACUGGUCGAGUCGGCCUGCGCGGAAGAUGUAACGGGGCUAAACCAUGCACCGAAGCUGCGGCAGCGACGCUGAUGCGUUGUUGGGUAGGGGAGCGUUCUGUAAGCCUGCGAAGGUGUGCUGUGAGGCAUGCUGGAGGUAUCAGAAGUGCGAAUGCUGACAUAAGUAACGAUAAAGCGGGUGAAAAGCCCGCUCGCCGGAA